GGCUCAGAACGAACGCUGGCGGCAUGCCUCAUACAUGCAAGUCGAACGGCACCUUCGGGUGCAGUGGCGCACGGGUGAGUAGCGCGUGGGAACCUGCCCAGCAGUGGGGGAUAACCGAGGGAAACUUCGGCUAAUACCGCAUGCGCCCGGGUAACCGGGGAAAGAUUUAUCGCUGUUGGAGGGGCCCGCGUCGGAUUAGCUAGUUGGUGGGGUAACGGCCUACCAAGGCUUUGAUCCGUAGCUGGUCUGAGAGGAUGAUCAGCCACACUGGGACUGAGACACGGCCCAGACUCCUACGGGAGGCAGCAGUAGGGAAUAUUGGACAAUGGGCGAAAGCCUGAUCCAGCAAUGCCGCGUGAGUGAGGAAGGCCUUAGGGUUGUAAAGCUCUUUCGCACGCGACGAUGAUGACGGUAGCGUGAGAAGAAGCCCCGGCUAACUUCGUGCCAGCAGCCGCGGUAAUACGAAGGGGGCGAGCGUUGUUCGGAAUUACUGGGCGUAAAGGGCGCGUAGGCGGCCCGUUUUGUCAGGCGUGAAAGCCCUGGGCUCAACCUAGGAAUUGCGCUUGGGACGGAUGGGCUAGAGAUCGGGAGAGGAGAGUGGAAUUCCCAGUGUAGAGGUGAAAUUCGUAGAUAUUGGGAAGAACACCAGUGGCGAAGGCGGCUCUCUGGACCGAUACUGACGCUGAGGCGCGAAAGCGUGGGGAGCAAACAGGAUUAGAUACCCUGGUAGUCCACGCUGUAAACGAUGUGUGCUAGACGUUGGGGAGCCUAGCUCUUCGGUGUCGCAGCUAACGCUUUAAGCACACCGCCUGGG
rnacentral:rRNA from 1 species